rnacentral:lncRNA from 1 species
CUCGCCUGCCGCCAUGUAAACGUUCUUUGCUCCUGCUUCGUCUUCUGCCGUGAUUGUGAGGCCUCCCCAGCCAUGUGGAACUACUCAUCACUCACUGCAGAUGUUACUUUAAGACAUUCUGGAGCAGCGUCAUGUGCAGGUGCGUAGUGCCUCCGCCCAUCUCUCUCUUGCUCCUGGUCUCAUCGUGACGGGCCUGGUCCUGCCUCACUUUAUGCCACGACUAAGAGCUCCCUGAGGCCUCUCCAGAAGCAGAUAUCACUAUGCUUCCUACACAGCCUGCAGAACCUUCUCUUGCCUGCCACCAUGUAAGAUAUGCUUUUACUCUUCCGCCUUCCACCGUGACUGUGAGGCCUCCCCAGCCAUGUGAAACUGCCUUUGAGCUUAUACUGAAUUAUACCACCAGCUUUCCUAGGUCUUGAAGCUUACAGACAGCAGAUCUUGGGACUUCUCAGGCACCAUAAUCAAUCAUAGAUAAAUGAUCCAAUGAUUCGGAACUUGAAAAGUGGUAGCUUUAUGAAUUCUCCUUAAGAAGAAACCUGUGCCCUGAUCUUGCCUACUCACCCAAAGGCACUGUGAGAUAGCAUCAAAGGAACAGCUAGUAAGAGACACAGAGCCAGAAAUCAGGGAAGUAAAAUACACUUGACAUCUACGUUCGGAAAGAAAUUUUAGGAGGCAGAAGCAAAUGGAUCAGAAGCUGCUUAUAUUUUUGCAAGAUUACCAAAGAAACCAUUGGUGGAGAAAGUUCUGUGACCAACUUGUCUGAGUCUAGUAAGAUUGAACGCUCACACACAAGUUUCAUGAAGUGGGUUUGAUACUUACAGAUAAGCAGCAAGGACCAACAGAAGCUGAUGAUCUAUGGUGAACUUUUUCCCAAGGCUCCGGAAAGCUGCCUAAAGUAGAUGGAGUCUUCUCUGUGUGUGCCCCACUGGUCCUGCAGUUGAAGGAUCCGGUAAAGCAGCCUGCCCUUGGUUUUAUACUCCAGAGGAACGUGAUUCGCUGGACUAAAGCAUUGAAGUGCAUCCUGUUUCCGGGGGGCACUGGAACAGAGCCUGGUCUGUUCUAGCCAGUCCCUUUCUAUCUCAGGAUAACAUUCUACAGUUAUUCUUGAGAACUAUAAUCAAAUAAGCAGGGAGAACUGGGUAAGUCCAAGGCUUAUCUAUACAAGCCUUUAAAUAUUCAAGACCAAAAAAAAAAAAAAAAAAAAAAAAAAAA